rnacentral:rRNA from 1 species
CUGCUGCCUUCCGUAGGAGUUUGGUCCGUGUCUCAGUACCAAUGUGGGGGGUUGACCUCCCAGUCCCCCUAUGUAUCGUCGCCUUGGUGAGCCGUUACCUCACCAACUAGCUAAUACAACGCAUGUCCAUCUCUGACCACCUGAGUUUUCAACCACCGAAGAUGCCUCCGGUGAUGUUAUGGGGUAUUAGUACCAAUUUCUCGAUGUUAUCCCCCUGUCAAAGGUAGGUUACAUACGCGUUACGCACCCGUCCGCCGGUCGCCGGCA